GAUCCUGCGCCUCCGGGACCCGCCGGGAGGAACGACAGCGCCCCGGGGCUGCCCGGCCCUGCCUGCGGGACACCUCGAACUCGCGGGGCGGCUGGGGCUGUAGUCAUUGUGACGCGCACCCGCCGCUCAGGCCCGCGUCCGCACCGGAGGCUUAGCGCGGGGGUGAGGACAGGUGUGAGCUGAGCGCCACGCCCAAGGGGGAGCGAGGAGGGACGCUUGGGUCCUAGCUGCGCGCGGGUGAUUCCAGCCUGGAUUACGGAAGAGGCACACCCACUGGGCCGCCACCCCGGCGGGAGAUCAGUGCCGACAGCCCCGCGGCCUCCCCAAACUCCAAGGGUUUGGAUGCGGCGGGUUGACAGGUUAGCUUGAAGCCCCCUUGCAGAGUCUCGUGGGGCUUUCGCUUUACUAAAUGUUAACUACUGGAGGCAUCGCUAACUCUGAGAUACAGGAAGACCUCACCGUAAGAAGUAAAAGUUGGGCUGCGCGCUAAGCGCUUUCAUUUAGCCUCUACACAUUUCUCUCAGGAUGUCUAUACAUUUUUGAAGGGACACCCUAUAUAAUCAGACACCCUUUUCAAGAUAUUGAACUUCAACCACCUACCAGCUGAAAGAGUGCUCUGCAAAAAGAACCUUAUACAAACUUUAUGAACGUAAAACCAACUAGAUUCUUCAUCAGCAAAACAAGAAUUCAAUAUUGAAGUACUCAUUCCUCAUAAAUAAACGAGUAUGGACAGGGUUUGUAGGUCAAUACUGUUUUGUUCAGCAGCUUGAAAUUAAGCUGAACAUCAGCAUAAAGAAAAAUUGCUGGGCUGGGUUGUUCUAAUAAUUACAAUUAGAAAUAAACAUAAAGCUGCCUAUAAAUCUCAAGAAUUGUCCCUUUGCCGAAACCGGUUUGGCUCAGUGGAUAGAGCGUCGGCCUGCGGACUGAAGGGUCCCAGG